rnacentral:lncRNA from 1 species
UGGUGCCUUGCGAAAGUGCUUCAAUCCGAAGCUUCAUGUCGCUUUCCUACGAAGCUUGACGUGCGCACGAAGUAAAGAGUUUGUGGAUUCAAAUCUACAUGAGGUUUUAGAUUCAGAAUUAUUGGGAUUUGAUCCCUAUUCCAUUGCAUAUAAGGUAAAGAUCUAAUCUUUAAUAAAUUUUUUUAGAAAAUAAUUAGAUGCACCCAGCUAUCC